UUAAAGAUUUAUUGGACAGAGAUGAGCGUGCGUCCCAUUAGCUAGUUGGUGCGGUAACGGCGUACCAAGGCGACGAUGGGUAGCUGGUGUGAGAGCACGACCAGCCACACGGGCACUGAGACACGGGCCCGACUCCUACGGGAGGCAGCAGUGAGGAAUAUUGGUCAAUGGGCGGAAGCCUGAACCAGCCAUGCCGCGUGAAGGAUGAAGGCGUUCUGCGUUGUAAACUUCUUUUAUUUGGGAAGAAAAUUGUGGUUUCUACUGCAACCGACGGUACCAGAUGAAUAAGCACCGGCUAACUCCGUG
rnacentral:rRNA from 1 species